rnacentral:rRNA from 1 species
UACGUAGGUGGCAAGCGUUUGUCCGGAUUUAUUGGGUUUAAAGGGUGCGUAGGCGGUCCUAUAAGUCAGUGCUGAAAUAUCCCGGCUUAACCGGGAGGGUGGCAUUGAUACUGCAGGACUUGAGUGAAGUCGAGGUAGGCGGAAUUGACGGUGUAGCGGUGAAAUGCUUAGAUAUCGUCAAGAACACCGAUAGUGAAGACAGCUUACUAGACUUCAACUGACGCUGAGGCACGAAAGCUAGGGGAGCAAACGGG